GGGACAUCAUGUCGGUCGUGCCUCGGUACGUACUGGUAUUGUUGGUUUCUCCCUUCUGACGAACCAUGAUGUCAUUUAUUUGGUGUUGUGGGGAAUCAGGACUGUUACUUUGAAAAAAUUAGAGUGUUUAAAGCAGGCUCACGCUUGAAUACAUUAGCAUGGAAUAAUGAAAUAGGACGUUUGAUUCUAUUUUGUUGGUUUCUAGGAUCGACGUAAUGAUUAAUAGGGAUAGUUGGGGGCAUUAGUAUUCAAUUGUCAGAGGUGAAAUUCUUGGAUUUAUUGAAGACUAACUACUGCGAAAGCAUUUGCCAAGGAUGUUUUCAUUAAUCAAGAACGAAAGUUAGGGGAUCGAAGACGAUCAGAUACCGUCGUAGUCUUAACCAUAAACUAUGCCGACUAGGGAUCGGAUGAUGUUAAUUUUUUAAUGACUCAUUCGGCGCCUUACGGGAAACCAAAGUGUUUGGGUUCCGGGGGGAGUAUGGUCGCAAGGCUGAAACUUAAAGGAAUUGACGGAAGGGCACCACCAGGGGUGGAGCCUGCGGCUUAAUUUGACUCAACACGGGGAAACUCACCAGGUCCAGACAUAGUAAGGAUUGACAGAUUGAGAGC
rnacentral:rRNA from 1 species